GGAUCAGUGGCGCAGUGGUAGCGCAUGCGAUUGCAGCUUUUCAAGUAGUUAUCGCACGGUCACGUGUUCGAUCCACGUCUGGUCCU
rfam:Exidia glandulosa HHB12029 unplaced genomic scaffold EXIGLscaffold_19, whole genome shotgun sequence.